GGGGUUGUGGCUCAGCGGCAGAGCGCUCGCCUAGCAUGCGUGAGGCACUGGGUUGGAUCCUCAGGACCACA
rnacentral:tRNA from 1 species